rnacentral:rRNA from 1 species
AUUGAACGCUGGCGGCAUGCCUUACACAUGCAAGUCGAACGGCAGCACGGGAGCAAUCCUGGUGGCGAGUGGCGAACGGGUGAGUAAAGUAUCGGAACGUGCCCAGUCGUGGGGGAUAACGUAGCGAAAGUUACGCUAAUACCGCAUACGAUCUAUGGAUGAAAGCGGGGGAUCGCAAGACCUCGCGCGAUUGGAGCGGCCGAUAUCAGAUUAGGUAGGUGGUGGGGUAAAGGCUCACCAAGCCGACGAUCUGUAGCUGGUCUGAGAGGACGACCAGCCACACUGGGACUGAGAAACGGCCCAGACUCCUACGGGAGGCAGCAGUGGGGAAUUUUGGACAAUGGGCGAAAGCCUGAUCCAGCCAUGCCGCGUGCAGGAUGAAGGCCUUCGGGUUGUAGACUGCUUUUGUACGGAACGAAAAGGUUUGGCCUAAUAAGCUGAGCUCAUGACGGUACCGUAAGAAUAAGCACCGGCUAACUACGUGCCAGCAGCCGCCGUAA